rnacentral:rRNA from 1 species
CACCGCGGUUAUACGAAAGACCCUAGUUGAUAGAUUUUGGCGUAAAGGGUGGUUAAGGUAAUAUAUUAAAUAAAGCUAAAGCCCCUCUAAGCCGUCAUACGCACUCCGAGGAUACGAAACCCAAAUACGAAAGUAGCUUUAAAUAAACACACCUGACCCCACGAAAGCUAAGAAA